rnacentral:lncRNA from 1 species
UAAAGCUUGGUGUCUUCAACUGAGUUCUUCAGGUCUAUUUAUAGGGAAAAAUCUGCUCUGAAGUGCUUCUGAUCAUGUCUCAAGUAGUGGAGAAAAUGAAGAAAGUGGGCAAACUGCUUCUGAAACGUGGGGAAAGAAUAGGUCAGGCUUUUACUUCCCACUGACUUCUGACUUUUUAACCUUCUUUUCCAUUUUUCCCCUUUCUUUCCUUUUUUCGCCGAAUUUCAACAUUUUGACGCGCGGAGACCUUUAACCGAUAAAUACCUGAAAUAGACACACACUACCAACAUAACAUUGCAAAAAUUUAUAAAAUCAAAAUCAAAAAAUGUGUAAGAUGAGUCAAAAUAAUAGUGCAUUUUACGUGUUAUCA